CACAAAAUAAAAAGAUGUAAAAUAUGACAUCAAAAACAUAAAAGAAAAGGGUGAUAAAAACGUAGUGCUUUUAGAAUAAUUAAAAUUUAAGGGA